rfam:Glarea lozoyensis 74030 unplaced genomic scaffold M7I_scaffold4, whole genome shotgun sequence.
ACAUACGACCAUAGACUAGAGAACAUUGGGCAUCCCGUCCGCUCUGCCAUACACAAGCUCUAGAUCGGCAGAUUAGUAGUUGGGUGGGUGACCACCAGCGAAUACCUGCUGUUGUAUGUU